UUUCCGUAGGUGAACCUGCGGAAGGAUCAUUACAGAGUUAAUGCCCGAAAGGGUAGACCUCCCACUCUUGUGUAUUAUUACUUUGUUGCUUUGGCCAGUGCAAGCUCGCCAGACAAUACCAAAACUCUUUUUAUUAAUGUCGUCUGAGUACUAUAUAAUAGUUAAAACUUUCAACAACGGAUCUCUUGGUUCUG
rnacentral:misc_RNA from 1 species